UUUACUAAACCGUACUGAAAACCGACACAGGUGGUCAGGUAGAGAAUACUCAGGCGCUUGAGAGAACUCGGGUGAAGGAACUAGGCAAAAUAGCACCGUAACUUCGGGAGAAGGUGCGCCGGCGUAGAUUGUAGUCCCUAGCGGGCGAAGGUUGAACCGGUCGAAGAUACCAGCUGGCUGCAACUGUUUAUUAAAAACACAGCACUCUGCAAACACGAAAGUGGACGUAUAGGGUGUGAUGCCUGCCCGGUGCUGGAAGGUUAAUUGAUGGUGUCAUCGCAAGAGAAGCACCUGAUCGAAGCCCCAGUAAACGGCGGCCGUAACUAUAACGGUCCUAAGGUAGCGAAAUUCCUUGUCGGGUAAGUUCCGACCUGCACGAAUGGCAUAAUGAUGGCCAGGCUGUCUCCACCCGAGACUCAGUGAAAUUGAAAUCGCCGUGAAGAUGCGGUGUACCCGCGGCUAGACGGAAAGACCCCGUGAACCUUUACUAUAGCUUGACACUGAACAUUGAAUUUUGAUGUGUAGGAUAGGUGGGAGCCUUUGAAGCAGUGACGCCAGUCAUUGUGGAGGCGACCUUGAAAUACCACCCUUUAACGUUUGAUGUUCUAACGAAGAUGACGAAACGUGGUCUCGGACAGUGUCUGGUGGGUAGUUUGACUGGGGCGGUCUCCUCCCAAAGCGUAACGGAGGAGCACGAAGGUUUGCUAAUCACGGUCGGACAUCGUGAGGUUAGUGCAAUGGUAUAAGCAAGCUUAACUGCGAGACAGACAAGUCGAGCAGGUACGAAAGUAGGUCAUAGUGAUCCGGUGGUUCUGAAUGGAAGGGCCAUCGCUCAACGGAUAAAAGGUACUCCGGGGAUAACAGGCUGAUACCGCCCAAGAGUUCAUAUCGACGGCGGUGUUUGGCACCUCGAUGUCGGCUCAUCACAUCCUGGGGCUGAAGUAGGUCCCAAGGGUAUGGCUGUUCGCCAUUUAAAGUGGUACGCGAGCUGGGUUUAGAACGUCGUGAGACAGUUCGGUCCCUAUCUGCCGUGGGCGUUGGA
rnacentral:rRNA from 1 species